rnacentral:rRNA from 1 species
CAGUAGCCGCGGGAAAACAGAGGGUGCGAGCGUUAAUCGGAUUUACUGGGCGUAAAGCGUGCGUAGGCGGCUUUUUAAGUCGGAUGUGAAAUCCCUGAGCUUAACUUAGGAAUUGCAUUCGAUACUGGGAAGCUAGAGUAUGGGAGAGGAUGGUAGAAUUCCAGGUGUAGCGGUGAAAUGCGUAGAGAUCUGGAGGAAUACCGAUGGCGAAGGCAGCCAUCUGGCCUAAUACUGACGCUGAGGUACGAAAGCAUGGGGAGCAAACAGGAUUAGAUACCCGAGUAGUCCCUGUCUCUUAUAC